rnacentral:rRNA from 1 species
GAUGAACGCUGGCGGCGUGCCUAAUACAUGCAAGUCGAGCGAACAGACGAGGAGCUUGCUCCUCUGACGUUAGCGGCGGACGGGUGAGUAACACGUGGACAACCUACCUAUAAGACUGGGAUAACUUCGGGAAACCGGAGCUAAUACCGGAUAAUAUAUUGAACCGCAUGGUUCAAUAGUGAAAGACGGUUUUGCUGUCACUUAUAGAUGGAUCCGCGCCGCAUUAGCUAGUUGGUAAGGUAACGGCUUACCAAGGCAACGAUGCGUAGCCGACCUGAGAGGGUGAUCGGCCACACUGGAACUGAGACACGGUCCAGACUCCUACGGGAGGCAGCAGUAGGGAAUCUUCCGCAAUGGGCGAAAGCCUGACGGAGCAACGCCGCGUGAGUGAUGAAGGUCUUCGGAUCGUAAAACGCUGUUAUUAGGGAAGAACAAAUGUGUAAGUAACUAUGCACGUCUUGACGGUACCUAAGCAGAAAGCCACGGCUAACUACGG